rnacentral:misc_RNA from 1 species
AACGCACAUUGCGCCCCUUGGUAUUCCGAGGGGCAUGCCUGUUCGAGCGUCAUUACACCAAUCAAGCACGGCUUGGUAUUAGGCCGUCGUCCCCCCGAGAAGGGGGGGCGCGCCUCAAAACCUUCGGCGAAGUCACACCGGCUUUGGGCGUAGUAGAAAUAAAACGUCCUCUGGGCCGCGCGUGUCUUCCGCCGUCAAACCCCCAAAUCUAUCACCAGGUUGACCUCGGAUCAGGUAGGGAUACCCGCUGAACUUAA